rnacentral:ncRNA from 1 species
AUGUUAUCAAGAAAGGUUGAGGGAUUAGACCCGAUGAAACCUUAGCAACCCUUUGCGCAAGCAAUGAAGGUGCUACGUUCUACCAGAUUUAUUUUGGACAGAUAACUU